GAUGAACGCUGGCGGCGUGCCUAAUACAUGCAAGUCGAACGAACAGACGCUGCUCUUGCUCCUCUGACGUUAGCGGCGCACGGGUGUGUAACACGUGUAUACCCUCCCUAUCAUUCUGGGAUAACUUCGGGAAUCCGGCUCUUAUACCGUAUAAUAUAUUGAACCGCAUGGUUCUAUAGUUAAAUUCGGUUUUGCUGUCUCUUAUCGCUGCAUCCGCGCCGCUUUAGCUAGUUGGUAAGGUAACGGCUUUCCAAGGCGACGAUGCGUAGCCGACGGGAGAGGGGGAUAGGCGACAUGGGAACUGAGACACGGACCAGACGCCUACGGGAGGCAGCAGUAGGGAAUGUUACGCAAUGGGCGAAAGCAUGACGGAGCAAGGGCGCGUGAGUGAUGAAGGUCUUCGGAUCGUAAAGCUCGGUUAUUAGGGAAGAACAAAUGUGUAAGUAAAUAUGCACGUAUUGACGGUACCUAAUCAGAAAGCAACGGCUAACUACGUG
rnacentral:rRNA from 1 species